UUGCUGCCAGUUUGGAACAGGAAAAAUUCUGUGUAAAUCUUUCCUCCCUAAUAAAAUCUAGUGCAAAACCUCCAUGCAUCUGAAGGAUUCUGCUGCAGCACCUUACAGUAUGUGGAGACCAUUUUCUUCCUGAAAAGAUUUUACUGUGCCUUUAUGCUAACUUCAUCAGAAAAAAAAGCACCCUCUAAAAUUCAGGGCCAUUUUGGAGAUGCUGCUAUCCUUCAUUAACUAAUUUGCUGUUUUAUUGAAACCACAAAUUUGUGGGGAACAAUUCUGUGCCAGACCUUUUCAAUGGGCUGGUUGUGCUCAGGUAAGCGCUCAGUACUGCAAAAGUUGCACAAUCCAGCCCUUCAGCUUGUGUGAGAAUAUCCUUUUACAAGCUCUAAGAUCAGGAGAAGUGCCUGCAAUAUUUUUACUUCAGUGCAGUUCUCUUUAGCAAUGAAGGACUGUGUGUAUGAGAUGUUUAUUGGGCAAACGCCAUGGCUUCAAACUCCUGCAAGUGAAACUGCCUUUAUUGAUUUUCACUGUCCCAGGCAUGCCAAAAGAAAAUACAUACACCAAAUGAGGAUCUUCAGAUGCCAUUUGGGGAUAAAUGUUUACAAAGACAUGAGUUACAGACAAAGAAACAUGCUCGUGGCUGAAAAAAAGUUUCCAAGCUUUAUGUUGUCUCUGUAUUUGCUGAUCUGGUUCAGCCAAGGAAAUAGCAGUGAGUGCCUGGCUGGUCAGCCCUGCCCUGGUGCCUGGAUCCAGAAUUGGGCAGGGAGCAGACAUAUGGCUGAGGAAGCAGGUCACUCCUUUUGUCUGCUCUGUGUAUUUUGCUGAAGCCUCAAGAGGAGAGCCAGACAGUGAUAUUCAUUCCAGUGGCACUGAGCAGCGGACACUAGCCUGCUGGGAAAAGAUCCAACACCAUCAAUUCGUUUUCAUUUCCCAUGAAUGGAAGGAGCUGGUGAAGGUUCAUGGAGACAUGGUUGCUCUGGCACAGCCUUCAUGAGGCUGGAUGGAUCCUGGGCAGGUGGGACAUUACUUUGGUUGUUUUGGUCAGCCUACAAUUUGCUGAAGGAAUCGGGCCUUACAGGGCUAUAGGGCUUCAUGAACAACUUUAAUUUUCUCUUUCCCUAUCCUGACUCAGAUCCUCAGGUGAAGAAGGUGUGAAGCUUUGAUUCAAAACUCCACAUCCUACAGCUGAUGUCUUAGGUGACCCUGUCCCACAUUUAACAGCAAGUUAAUUUGGUUUCUGUAUUUUAAAAAAAUACACGGAAGUCUCUGACCUUUUCACUUGAGUUAAACAUAUAUGCAAAGGCAGGGUAUGAUCACAGUGGAGGGUGGUGUUGCAGUACUGCCUUUAAGUUGGCUGGUCUGACCAGCCGUGUCAUGGAUGUCAGCAAGAGGUCUUGAGACUCUACUUCGAAUGUUUGUAAAAAUACCUUCCCUAAUGUUGCUGGCACAGCCCUGACUGCACACACAGGAACCCCACCUUCAGUUGCUGGUAGGUGGCUCUGAUUCCCUGUGCUCUUGGUGCCAAGGGAUUUUGCAAUUUUUUUUGUGUAACUUGGAUGGAAAGUGGUAUUUCGGUGUUUUUUCUGUGACUGCUGCUUUUACUCUCCUUCCCCUGAUAUAUAUCUUGGAGAGUUUAUACAUCUUAAUGAAAUUAUGCAAAGAGGAGGGGGUGCCCAGAGGAAAGGAGGGAGUGGAAAAAUUAUAUAAGCUUCCAGAAAUAACAUGGAAACCAAUUUUUUUCUCUAGUACUGAAAUCCUGUUCUAGAUGACUAAAUUAAAAGUGUUUGUAGUAAUACACUGAAGAGACAAUGUAAGUGUACAAGUGUCUGCUAGGAACACCCACCUGAAUGGGAUUCCACCUGUACAAGCACUACCACUAGAGAUUUUUACUGGCACAGCUGGGGGUUUUUUAGGGGACAGGCACUGGGAUGGCCCCUUUCAAGUGCCAUGAAUCACAGUUUUCUGAGGUGGUUGUGGAGCAGUCUUUGGCUCCACACAUGAAUUCCACUGAACAAGAGCAAUGCAGGAAAAAUUUCUUGUACAUCAUAUGAGGCUAAAGCUGGAGCCAGUCUAGCCCAUGUCUGUUCCCAGGGCAGCCAACUUACACGUGGUCUCUGACUCACACCUAGCUGGAACUGGCCUUUAUAUGUGUGUGUGAGCUAGGCAACCAGAGUGCUUGGUGCCAGUGUGAGGCUUUGCCCCCAGUAUAUCCUUUUCCAAAGCGUGGUAUUUUGUGUGCAGGAAUGUGGCAGGGGGCAAGGCAAGCCGAUUGCUUUGUGGAAUGCUAGUCCUGGUGGCCUGGGUCUCUGGGCCUAACAUUAUGCUAGAUGUAUAUGUUUGCAUUUAUUAUUGCCUCAUGAAAAAUACAUAAGCAGAUAUCUCUCACUCUGUAGCUUUCUGUUAGUUUGCCUGUAGUUGUUGUAGUCUUAACUGGGAAGGGAGAAGGAAAAAGGGAGAGGUGUAUCUCAGCCACAGGACAGAUCUGGGUCAGAGCCCAGAAUAAACUCAGUUCACCGGUACCCAUAGCUUGAGGUGACUGGGCUGGGUGGAAAUUGUUGACAGGAGGGGGAAAUGUAUGCAUUUCCUUUUUGUUUGAAUUGUGAUUUGACCUUUCUGUCACAGAUUGCAUAACAUACAUCACUUAGAAGGUUAAAAUACAAGUCUUCAUGACUCACUCCCAGAGCUACCUAAAAUACUUCUGGGAUUUGUGCAGGGGAAUCUCAGUGGUGAAGGGGGUGAAUCUAAUAACCUUGUAGAAGUUGAGGUUACAUGUCCCUUGGUAGCAAAAAAAGGUGAAAAAAACCUGCCUUUGAAUCCCCCAUCACCACAAUACUCACUCCUGCCCUUUCUCAGAAGUUCCUUUCAGGAGAGCUGAUUCAGCUGUUUGUCUGGCUGCACAUAAACGGGACGAAAGAAUGAGAUUUUGAAAAGCCCUCAAAAAGGGAGGGUUGUGAACCUGUGCAGAAAACACAUGUUGUGCACCCAUAUUAAGAUCUAUAGUUAUGCUUAGAUGAGGUUAUCUGCACUUAAAGUGCUUCUGGAUUUGGACCACAGAUGAUGAGGCUUGCUGGAAUCACGUGCCCAAGAAGUAUAUGACCCUGGAGCACAGAGCUGAGUGAAAGCCAUGUUUCGCUAGGAUUUUUGAGAGGCAGCCAGCACUGUUUUCAAAGUGCUCUCAAGUAUUGUGGAGUAAAUGUUGACAGAUACUGCAAUACUCACACUGAUGAAUACGCUCAGGCUGCAUUGAGCAUCUCUACGUUUGUGCCAGGACUUGAGACCCAGCAUAACAAGUGCAAUACAAGAGGAGGAGGAAGGAAAAACUGAUAGUGGGCAGGUGCUUUCUAUCAUUUUCUGGAUGAGCUGCUUUGGCCUCAGCGGAAGAAGCUGUCCCCAGGCAGAAAGAGCUGUUCUGUGGAGCGGAGCAGGCAGACUUACCAGGGCACAAGUCAUUUUUCAGACCACAGAGUGAAGUUUCUUUCCCAGGGCAGAGCUGGGGGCAUCAGUGUCAAGGCACGAAUCUCCCUGAUACCCUGGAGCUGCUGCCCUGAUGGCUGACACAUGUGGGAGGGUGUGGGGGGUGGCACAGCACCCACCUUUUGCAGUUACUAAGCCUACGUGGUCUCCAGACCAAGGCUCCAAAGUGAGUUUACCAGCACAAUUAUUGAGCUAACAGUGUGUAAUCAUCAGAUGUUUCACAGAAAUCAGAAUGUUUGGAGGCUCCUCAUUGCAGAUUAAGUCAAGGCACAAGUGGAAAGCACAGAGAAUAAUUAUUUUCAGCAUUAAAUUUUCAGAUCACACUACAUG